GUGACUGGCCCAAGACAGUAGAGUACGAGACUCUUAAUCUCAUGGGUUGUGGGUUCGAGUCCCACGUUGGGCG